GAUGAACGCUAGCUACAGGCUUAACACAUGCAAGUCGAGGGGCAGCAGGGAUUUAGCUUGCUAAAUCCGCUGGCGACCGGCGCACGGGUGCGUAACGCGUAUCCAACUUUCCCGUUACUCAGGGAUAGCCUUCCGAAAGGAAGAUUAAUACCUGAUGGUGUUUGAAGUUCGCAUGUUCUUCAAACUAAAGAUUUAUCGGUAACGGAUAGGGAUGCGUGACAUUAGAUAGUAGGCGGGGUAACGGCCCACCUAGUCUACGAUGUCUAGGGGUUCUGAGAGGAAGGUCCCCCACACUGGAACUGAGACACGGUCCAGACUCCUACGGGAGGCAGCAGUGAGGAAUAUUGGUCAAUGGUCGGAAGACUGAACCAGCCAAGUAGCGUGAAGGAUGAAGGUUCUAUGGAUUGUAAACUUCUUUUAUACGGGAAUAAAACAUCCCACGUGUGGGAUCUUGUAUGUACCGUAUGAAUAAGCAUCGGCUAACUCCGUGCCAGCAGCCGCCGUAACAC
rnacentral:rRNA from 1 species